UAACAUACUGUUCAGCAUCCUGUUUGGGA
rnacentral:sRNA from 1 species